rnacentral:rRNA from 1 species
UACAGAGGGUGCGAGCGUUGUCCGGAAUCACUGGGCGUAAAGGGCGCGUAGGCGGCUUGGUAAGGUUGCGGUGAAAGCCCGGGGCUCAACCCCGGGUCGGCCGUGGCAACUGCUGAGCUGGAGCACUGUAGAGGCAGGUGGAAUUCCGGGGUGUAGCGGUGGAAUGCGUAGAGAUCCGGAAGAACACCGGUGGUGAAGGCGGCCUGCUGGGCAGUGGCUGACGCUGAUGCGCGACAGCGUGGGGAGCAAAC